rnacentral:tRNA from 1 species
GUUAAUGUAGCUUAAUAUUAAAGCAAAGCACUGAAAAUGCUUAGAUGAGUAAACAUAUGCUCCAUAAACA